AGGGGUGAAAGUCUGCGGCUCAACCGUAGAAUUGCCCUUGAUACUGGUGGCCUUGAGUUAUGGUGAAGUAACUAGAAUAUGUAGUGUAGCGGUGAAAUGCAUAGAUAUUACAUAGAAUACCGAUUGCGAAGGCAGGUUACUAACCAUAUACUGACGCUGAUGGACGAAAGCGUGGGUAGCGAACAGGAUUAGAUACCCUGGUAGUCCACGCCGUAAACGAUGGAUACUAGCUGUCCGGAUGCAAAUCUGGGCGGCCAAGCGAAAGUGAUAAGUAUCCCACCUGGGGAGUACGUCCGCAAGGAUGAAACUCAAAGGAAUUGACGGGGGCCCGCACAAGCGGUGGAGCAUGUGGUUUAAUUCGAUGAUACGCGAGGAACCUUACCAGGGCUUAAAUGUGGUCCGACAGCCUUAGAGAUAGGGUUUCCUUCGGGCGGACCACAAGGUGCUGCAUGGUUGUCGUCAGCUCGUGCCGUGAGGUGUCAGGUUAAGUCCUAUAACGAGCGCAACCCCUGCCGUUAGUUGCCAGCAUGUAAAGAUGGGGACUCUAACGGGACUGCCGGUGCAAACCGCGAGGAAGGUGGGGAUGACGUCAAAUCAUCACGGCCCUUACGUCCUGGGCCACACACGUGCUACAAUGGCCGGUACAGAGAGCAGCCACCCCGCAAGGGGGAGCGAAUCUACAAAACCGGUCACAGUUCGGAUCGGGGUCUGCAACUCGACCCCGUGAAGCUGGAAUCGCUAGUAAUCGGAUAUCAGCCAUGAUCCGGUGAAUACGUUCCCGGGCCUUGUACUAACCGCCCGUCAAGCCAUGGAAGCCG
rnacentral:rRNA from 1 species